AUGGGGGAUAGGCCAUGGCAACAGCCGCAUGAGCAGGCUUCUUGUUCAGCGCACGCCGAGAUGAUCCAAGCUUCUACCGCUGCUACCUCGUCCACCCAUGGAAGCAUCAUCAGAAAGGACCCUGGCGGAUACGAGGACUUGGCAGAACUUGAUCAAGCCCUCUUCCUCUACAUCAACAGCCAGGACCAACAAUCAGUUCAAGAGCAACCACACUUCUCUUCACGUGUGCAUGCAGAGACUCUCAACAUCUUCCCUUCUCGGCCGAUGCACGUCGUCGCCGAGCCUUCUCCGAAGGCCGCCACCUCGACGUCGAACAUCGUCGCCGCGAGUUCUAAUUUAAAGCCGCAACGUCCGCCGUCCAAGCAGUCCGCCAUGACGGCACCAGGCGGCAAGGCGACCGUCAAGAGAGAAGGAAGCGGAAGCGGCGGCGCCGGCACGCCGUCGACCUCAGAGCACGAGGGCCCCAGAACGCCGGACGCCAAGACGCUGAGGAGGCUCGCGCAGAACAGGGAGGCCGCGAGGAAGAGCAGGCUUAGGAAGAAGGCUUACAUUCAAAAUUUGGAGACGAGUAGGGUCAGGCUGUCACAGAUGGAGCAGGAGAUGCAGAGAUGCAGCGCUCAGGGUGCAAUCUUGGGUGGUGGAGCUGGCAUUGGAGGACUAAGCCCAGAGGCGGCAUGGUUCGACGGGGAGUACGCGAGGUGGGUGGACGAGCACGACAGGAUGAUGCGGCACCUGCGGGCAGCGGUGGACGCGGAGGGAGUGGAGCACGACGCGGCGGCGACGGACGGCGAGCAGCUGCUGCGGCAGCUCAUCGACGCCACGGCCGCGCACCACGUGGUGCUGGCGGAGCUCAAGUCCGCCGUGGCCAGGGCCGACGUGUUCCACCUCGUCUCCGGGACGUGGCUGCCCGCCGCCGAGCGCUGCUUCAUCUGGAUUGGCGGCUCCCGCCCCUCGGACCUCAUCAAGGUUAUGGCGCGGCAUAUGGAGCCCCUGACGGAGCAACAGGCGGCGGGCAUGUACGACGUGCAGCGGUGGGCGCAGGAGCGCGAGGAAGCUCUGGACCGUGAGCUCCAGGCCACGUACCGCUCCCUCUCCGACACCGUCUCCUCCGACGCGCUCAUCUCCCCCUACCCCGACACGGCCGCCUACAUGGCCCACAUGUCGCUCGCCAUCUCCAACCUCUCCUCCCUCGAGGCCUUCGUCAGACAGGCAGACGCGUUGAGGCUGCAGACGCUGCACAGGCUGCCGCAGGUGCUGACGGCGCGGCAGGCGGCGCGGUGCUUCCUCGCCGUCGCUGACUACUCCCAGCGCCUCCGCGCGCUCAGCUCCCUCUGGCUGGCGCGGCCGCGCCAGGACCAGCCCAACCAGCCCGGCGCCGGCGGCCGUCUGUUCCAUCCAUGA
rnacentral:rRNA from 1 species